UACGUAGGUGGCAAGCGUUGUCCGGAAUUAUUGGGCGUAAAGCGCGCGCAGGCGGUCCCUUAAGUCUGAUGUGAAAGCCCACGGCUCAACCGUGGAGGGUCAUUGGAAACUGGGGGACUUGAGUGCAGAAGAGGAAAGUGGAAUUCCACGUGUAGCGGUGAAAUGCGUAGAGAUGUGGAGGAACACCAGUGGCGAAGGCGACUUUCUGGUCUGUAACUGACACUGAGGCGCGAAAGCGUGGGGAGCGAACAGG
rnacentral:rRNA from 1 species